CAGUCGCCACGGUAAUACGUAGGUGGCAAGCGUUGUCCGGAUUUAUUGGGCGUAAAGCGAGCGCAGGCGGUUAGAAAAGUCUGAAGUGAAAGGCAGUGGCUCAACCAUUAUAGGCUUUGGAAACUGUUUAACUUGAGUGCAGAGGGGGAGAGUGGAAUUCCAUGUGUAGCGGUGAAAUGCGUAGAUAUAUGGAGGAACACCGGUGGCGAAAGCGGCUCUCUGGUCUGUAACUGACGCUGAGGCUCGAAAGCGUGGGGAGCGAACAGGAUUAGAUACCCGGGUAGUCCCUGUCUCUUAUACA
rnacentral:rRNA from 1 species